CCUACGGGAGGCAGCAGUGGGGAAUAUUGGACAAUGGGGGGAACCCUGAUCCAGCCAUGCCGCGUGUGUGAAGAAGGCCCUCGGGUUGUAAAGCACUUUCAGUGAGGAAGAACGCCUGGUGGUUAAUACCCAUCAGGAAAGACAUCACUCACAGAAGAAGCACCGGCUAACUCCGUGCCAGCAGCCGCGGUAAUACGGAGGGUGCGAGCGUUAAUCGGAAUUACUGGGCGUAAAGCGCGCGUAGGUGGCUUGAUAAGCCGGUUGUGAAAGCCCCGGGCUCAACCUGGGAACGGCAUCCGGAACUGUCAAGCUAGAGUGCAAGAGAGGAAGGUAGAAUUCCCGGUGUAGCGGUGAAAUGCGUAGAGAUCGGGAGGAAUACCAGUGGCGAAGGCGGCCUUCUGGACUGACACUGACACUGAGGUGCGAAAGCGUGGGUAGCAAACAGGAUUAGAUACCCUAGUAGUC
rnacentral:rRNA from 1 species